GACGAACGCUGGCGGCGCGCCUAACACAUGCCAGUCGAACGAGCGAGAGGAGGUUUACUUUCUCAAGCGAGUGGCGAACGGGUGAGUAACGCGUGAGGAACCUGCCUCAAAGAGGGGGACAACAGUUGGAAACGACUGCUAAUACCGCAUAAGCCCACGACCCGGCAUCGGGUAGAGGGAAAAGGAGCAAUCCGCUUUGAGAUGGCCUCGCGUCCGAUUAGCUAGUUGGUGAGGUAAUGGCCCACCAAGGCGACGAUCGGUAGCCGGACUGAGAGGUUGAACGGCCACAUUGGGACUGAGACACGGCCCAGACUCCUACAGGAGGCAGCAGUGGGGAAUAUUGCACAAUGGGGGAAACCCUGAUGCAGCGACGCCGCGUGGAGGAAGAAGGUCUUCGGAUUGUAAACUCCUGUUGUUGAGGAAGAUAAUGACGGUACUCAACAAGGAAGUGACGGCUAACUACGUG
rnacentral:rRNA from 1 species